UACGGAGGGGGCUAGCGUUGUUCGGAAUUACUGGGCGUAAAGCGCACGUAGGCGGAUUGGUCAGUUAGGGGUGAAAUCCCGGAGCUCAACUCCGGAACUGCCUUUAAUACUGCCAGUCUAGAGACCGAGAGAGGUAAGUGGAACUCCUAGUGUAGAGGUGGAAUUCGUAGAUAUUAGGAAGAACACCAGUGGCGAAGGCGGCUUACUGGCUCGGAACUGACGCUGAGGUGCGAAAGCGUGGGGAGCAAAC
rnacentral:rRNA from 1 species